UGGCUGCCGACAAUAUCCGGCCGAAGGUAUGCCGGCCAAACAGACCAAUACUGCUUCCAACCGACCGAACGGUCGAACCCACAUCACCGACUCACUGUCGGGGGUGGCAGUUGACAUCCGACUUUCAUAAGACAUUAGAUCAGCCGACGGUGUCUCCGAGUCACCACCCGACGUUCCGACGGUCGAAUAUCGACAUAUAGUCGG
rnacentral:lncRNA from 1 species